rnacentral:rRNA from 1 species
AGAUUGAACGCUGGCGGCAUGCUUUACACAUGCAAGUCGAACGGUAACAGGCCGCAAGGUGCUGACGAGUGGCGAACGGGUGAGUAAUGCAUCGGAACGUGCCCAGUCGUGGGGGAUAACGCAGCGAAAGCUGUGCUAAUACCGCAUACGAUCUAUGGAUGAAAGCGGGGGACCAAAGGCCUCGCGCGAUUGGAGCGGCCGAUGUCAGAUUAGCUAGUUGGUGGGGUAAAG